UGAGGAAUUUUGCACAAUGGACGAAAGUCUGAUGCAGCGACGCCGCGUGGAGGAUGAAGGUCUUCGGAUUGUAAACUUCUGUUGGCUAGGAAGAAAUGCCUGUAUCGAAUACAUACAGGAGAUGACUGUACUAGCAAAGAAAGCACCGGCUAACUUCGUGCCAGCAGCCGCGGUAAUACGAAGGGUGCAAGCGUUACUCGGAAUUACUGGGCGUAAAGGGCGUGUAGGUGGUAUGAUAAGUCAAUUGUUUAAUCUCCCGGCCUAACCGGGAAUCAGCGAUAGAUACUGUCACACUAGAGGAUGGGAGAGAGAAGUGGAAUUCUCGGAGUAGCGGUAAAAUGCGUAGAUCUCGAGAGGAACACCGAUGGCGAAGGCAGCUUCUUGGCCCACUCCUGACACU
rnacentral:rRNA from 1 species